GACGAACGCUGGCGGCGUGCCUAACACAUUCAAGUCGAGCGAGUGAAUCUCCUUCGGGAGUGAAGCUAGCGGCGGACGGGUGAGUAACACGUGGGCAACCUGCCUCAUAGAGGGGAAUAGCCUUUCGACAGGAAGAUUAAUACCGCAUAAGAUUGUAGCUUCGCAUGAAGUAGCAAUUAAAGGAGCAAUCCGCUAUGAGAUGGGCCCGCGGCGCAUUAGCUAGUUGGUGAGGUAACGGCUCACCAAGGCGACGAUGCGUAGCCGACCUGAGAGGGUGAUCGGCCACAUUGGGACUGAGACACGGCCCAGACUCCUACGGGAGGCAGCAGUGGGGAAUAUUGCACAAUGGGGGAAACCCUGAUGCAGCGACGCCGCGUGAGUGAAGAAGUAUUUCGGUAUGUAAAGCUCUAUCAGCAGGGACGAUAAUGACGGUACCUGACUAAGAAGCCCCGGCUAACUACGUGCCAGCAGCCGCAGUAA
rnacentral:rRNA from 1 species